GGUAAAAUGGCCGAACUAGGUGUAGGGUUGUANCCCCUUUUAUAAAGGUUANAGUCCUUUUUUUAUNA
rnacentral:tRNA from 1 species